UACCAGCACCCCGAGUGGUCGGGACGUUUAUUGGGCCUAAAGCAUCCGUAGCCGGUUCUACAAGUCUUCCGUUAAAUCCAACUGCUUAACAGGUGGGCUGCGGAAGAUACUAUAGAGCUAGGAGGCGGGAGAGGCAAGCGGUACUCGAUGGGUAGGGGUAAAAUCCGUUGAUCCAUUGAAGACCACCAGUGGCGAAGGCGGCUUGCCAGAACGCGCUCGACGGUG
rnacentral:rRNA from 1 species